rnacentral:rRNA from 1 species
UUGAACUGAAGAGUUUGAUCAUGGCUCAGAUUGAACGUUGGCGGCAGGCCUAACACAUGCAAGUCGAACGAGAAAGCGCCUUCGGGCGCGAGUAAAGUGGCGGACGGGUGAGUAACGCGUAGGAAUCUACCCAGCGGUGGGGGACAACUCGGGGAAACUCGAGCUAAUACCGCAUGACAUCCCAACUCUUCGGAGGCGGGAUCAAAGGGGGCCUCUCCUUGGAAGCUCCCGCCGUUGGAGGAGCCUGCGUUGGAUUAGCUUGUUGGUGGGGUAACGGCCCACCAAGGCGACGAUCCAUAGCUGGUCUGAGAGGAUGAUCAGCCACACUGGAACUGAGACACGGUCCAGACUCCUACGGGAGGCAGCAGUGGGGAAUCUUGGGCAAUGGGCGCAAGCCUGACCCAGCCAUGCCGCGUGUGCGAAGAAGGCUCUAGGGUUGUAAAGCACUUUCAGUGGUGAAGAAAAUCUCGGGGUUAAUACCCCCGGGUCUUGACGUUAGCCACAGAAGAAGCACCGGCUAACUCCGUGCCAGCAGCCGCGGUAAUACGGAGGGUGCGAACGUUAAUCGGAAUUACUGGGCGUAAAGCGCGCGUAGGCGGUUCGGUAAGUGGGAUGUGAAAGCCCCGGGCUCAACCUGGGAACUGCAUUCCAAACUGCCGAACUGGAGUGUGGUAGAGGGAGGUAGAAUUUCCUGUGUAGCGGUGGAAUGCGUAGAUAUAGGAAGGAAUACCGAUGGCGAAGGCAGCCUCCUGGACCAAUACUGACGCUGAGGCGCGAAAGCGUGGGUAGCAAACAGGAUUAGAUACCCUGGUAGUCCACGCCGUAAA